UAAAUCAUAGUUUAAAUAAAAUACCUAACUUGCACUUAGGAGUUGUAAGUCUGAUUUAG
rnacentral:tRNA from 1 species